rnacentral:lncRNA from 1 species
ACAAAGAACAGCCUCUUUCCAAGCUUCAGGCUUUGGUCGCCCUGAGCACGAUGUGACUCCUCUUAUUGUGACUAAUAAAGACCACAUGGCCAGAAUCGACAUGAAUAUUUCUGCUGAAUUUCAGGCUGUCUUGACCGGCAAAGAGCACCGUUAAACUCAGGGGAGAGGAAAAGCAAGGGAAUAGUCAGAGAAAACCUAAAGAUAUCAUUAUUCUGUUAGGUUUAUAGAGCAGCAUGGUAUAUUUCACCUGGUAAAGGAAAAGCUACACAAUAUUGCUUCAUAUUCCAAGUAGAGAAAUAAAGAUGUCAGCCUUGAAUGCUACAAGAAAGAUCACAAUUCAUAACGGGACUUGGAGGCCUAGGAAUUUGGAUCUUCAUUUCUCACCAGACUUAUUUUCUGGUUAAGAGGUUCUAUGUCUUCUCCAGAGAAUCCUGUUAUGUGGGAAGGGUGAAACUAUGUUCCUGCGCACAUGGAAAUUUUGCCUGACGCAUGUGACCACCGUGUCUUAUGCAAGGACUCCUGGAAGUUCUGAAGGACAUGUUUGAACCAAGUAUGAUCAAGCUUUCUUCUUUUUUAUUCAUUUCCAUCAAAAGAAAUAGAAGGAUUAAAUACAACCUUUGACACUCACAAUACACUUUGUU